rnacentral:rRNA from 1 species
UACGGAGGGUGCGAGCGUUGUCCGGAAUCAUUGGGCGUAAAGGGCGCGUAGGCGGCCCGCUAAGUCGAACGUGAAAUCCCCAAGCUCAACCUGGGAACUGCGUCUGAUACUGGAUGGCUUGAGUUCGGGAGAGGGAUGCGGAAUUCCAGGUGUAGCGGUGAAAUGCGUAGAUAUCUGGAGGAACACCGGUGGCGAAGGCGGCAUCCUGGACCGACACUGACACUGAGGAGCGAAAGCCAGGGGAGCAAACGGG